rnacentral:lncRNA from 1 species
CUAGAUAGUGAGGUACUUAUAUGGCUUGAUUCUGACCAACUGGGGCUCAUUCUGAAGGGGAAUUUGAUGGUCCUACAUUCUUUUAGGAGGUAAUCCUUUAGGAAAAUGGAAAACAUCACCAAAUUCAUUAAGAAUUAAAUCAUGAUGCUGAGGGAAAAUUUGGGGUGGCAGUGUCAAAGCUGUCAGAGCUGAACUAGUGAACAUUAUUGGACAGGGUCCAUGUUUCGGCAUACUAAGGCAUCUAGACAACUGUGGACCAAUCAAAAUACAGAGACUCCUAAGAAGAAUACCCUGAAGAGUACAAGGGUUGCCUCAAUGGUCAAAUUGCAUAACCAAACAAGAUAAAUUCCAAAACCAAGGGAUAACAACCACUGUACACCAAGAACCAAAUCACAUCAUUUUACAGGUAGAACCAUAAAGUCAGUACAGAAUAUCCACCCUUGUGAUUCCCAAGUCACAUAUUGACAUAAGCCUAGGGUUGACAGUUGAGCUCCAUUGGCAACCAUCACCUUUAAAUGACAAGAGGAAUUCACUGAAAGGUUCAAUCAUUUAAGAAACCUGAAAUCCACAAAAUUGUGUGUACUGCAAGAGUCCACCAGAAUGAUAACUUCUACUUGGUCGAUCUUAGUAGAAAACCUCAUAGUGUUGUGACCCUAUGAUCCAUUCA